GCCAGUGUGGUGUAGUGGUUUGAGCAUUGGACUAUGACUCUGGAGAGCAGGGUUCAAAUCCCCACUUGGCCA
rnacentral:tRNA from 1 species